rnacentral:rRNA from 1 species
CCCUUAGACGUUCUGGGCCGCACGCGCGCUACACUGACCAGUGCAACAAGCAUCCGUCCUUGGCCGACAGGCCCGGGCAAUCUUUGAACGCUGGUCGUGAUGGGGAUAGACUUUUGCAAUUUUUGGUCUUCAACGAGGAAUUCCUAGUAAACGCAAGUCACCAACUUGCAUUGAUUACGUCCCUGCCCUUUGUACACACCGCCCGUCGCACCUACCGAUUGAAUGGUCCGGUGAAGCCUCCGGAUUGGCGCGCACCCCGGUGCCGCCGAGAAGUUGGCUAAACCUUACCAUUUAGAGGAAGGUGAAGUCGUAACA